rnacentral:rRNA from 1 species
UUUGUUCCGAGGUUGGGAAAUCUUUUGUUAAACUAGGAUUAGAUACCCUAUUAUUUUAGAUGUGAUUACUUUUCUAUAAUUAUUAUUAGUUAAGUUCUUUAAAAUUAAACAAUUUGGCGGUAUUUUAGUCUAUUCAGAGGAACCUGUUUUUUAAUCGAUGGUCCACGAUAAGUUUUACUUUAAUUUUAAAUUUAUAUAUCGUCGUUAUUAAUAAUUUUAUGAGAAUUUUAAUUUUUGAGAUUUUUUAUUAUAAGUUAGUUCAGAUCAAGGUGUAGUUUAUGUUGAAGUUAAAAUGGGUUACAUUUCAUUUAUGAUUGGUUCUUUUUUUUAAAUUUUUAGAUAAAUUGGAUUUGAAAGUAAAUUCU